CAUUUUUCACGCCAAUUUUUAGCCACUUAACCCCUCCACGUAUCUAUAUAUUUCCACGUCGCCUCGGCUCCACCUUCCCCUUCCUCCCGUCCUCUUGUAUGUUCAGCCUGGCGCCAAGCUUCCGGCCGCUGCCCUUCGGGAGCAGGUUGAAUCGCCUGCACUUCUGAAGUCCUCUCCUAUUUUUUUAGAAAUGUGCUGAUCACUUGGAGUCUGAUGAGCACUCAGUCAUGCUGAUGCUACGUGGAACAGUUCCAUUUGUGAGGCCCGGUACUUGCUGGGACCUAAAAAAACAGUGUGAAAAGAGUGUUUCUGUUUUACGUUGUAAAUUAGGAUGCAGUGUGGUUUACAAUUCAGUGGAAGGUCAUCAUCAACAGAAGCCACACAUUGUUCAUAGCUUUACUAGAGUGAGCCAUCACCUGUGUAAAAGCUUAAAAGAAAGAACUACAAGGCACUGGCUGCAUCAAUUCCAUGUUAAUGCUUCAUCAGAUGAUGACUUCCGCUCGACACGUAAUAUAGCAAUCAGUCUAUUCAAGCGGUACAAGAAUGUUAUUGAUCGAGGAAGUGGAGAUAACCUAAAAGAAUUCAUCAGUGCUGGAGUUAAUGCAUAUACCCUAGGGUGUACGGAUGAGGGGCUUAGAAAGGAACUUAUGGAUAUAGAAUAUUCUAGUCUUGAGAUUGAAGGCUUAGGGUCCUGUGGUGGAAACAGAUUGAAGUUCAAAGUCCACUCGUUUGAGUAGAUGAAGUCCACUAGUUCUCAUUGGCAAGAUAUGAAGCUUGAUAUAAGAUUCGUGAAUGCAUUCUGUGGCUCAGUAUAGUAUUCAUCACAAUACUCUGCACACCGCAACCAACAGUUAUCAGGUGGUCUCCUACCCCGCCUGUGUCAGCUGACGUGUUGCAUCAGUGGAAAGGAUUUUGUGCUCUAAUCGCAAAUGCUUACUAUGUCAAAGGAAUGGCAUGGUUACCGGUGAAAAUCUUGCAGAUGGAACAGAUGGCUGUCACAGGAACUUCAGAGAAACCAUCAGUAGUUGCUAGCCGGAUGCAGUUAGUUUUCAGCACAUUAGAGGAAGUUAGCCCACAGUGGCCAAGAGUUUGAUUAAGUGAAAGCAAUUCGAUCAAACAAAGGUCUUCAGUUUUAUCCUGACUAAACGAAUGUCCCCGUCCAAGUUUAAUGGUGUAAAGAAUGAUAGUGCUCCAUGUUCGUUUGAACUCAAAUGUCAAAACACACGGAUGCACAUCAAAGAAAAAUGUUCAUGUACUUAUUGUAAAGUAUUCGAUAAUACAAGUACGGAAACUUCUAUCUUCAUCUACAUAUUAUAAAUAUCCCUUGCUGCUGUAGAAGAGGUAGAGUGAACACUGACGUAUUAGUAUUA